rnacentral:rRNA from 1 species
AGGCGAACGGCUGAGUAACACGUGGGCAACCUGCCCUUUGCACUGGGAUAGCCUCGGGAAACCGAGGUUAAUACCGGAUACUCCAUAUUUGUCGCAUGGCGAAUAUGGGAAAGCUCCGGCGGCAAAGGAUGGGCCCGCGGCCUGUUAGCUAGUUGGUGGGGUAGUGGCCUACCAAGGCAAUGAUGGGUAGCCGGGUUGAGAGACCGACCGGCCAGAUUGGGACUGAGACACGGCCCAGACUCCUACGGGAGGCAGCAGCUG